UACGUAGGUGGCAAGCGUUGUCCGGAAUUAUUGGGCGUAAAGCGCGCGCAGGCGGUCCUUUAAGUCUGAUGUGAAAGCCCACGGCUCAACCGUGGAGGGUCAUUGGAAACUGGGGGACUUGAGUACAGAAGAGAAGAGUGGAAUUCCACGUGUAGCGGUGAAAUGCGUAGAGAUGUGGAGGAACACCAGUGGCGAAGGCGACUCUUUGGUCUGUAACGUGACGCUGAGGCGCGAAAGCGUGGGAGCAACAGG
rnacentral:rRNA from 1 species